ACGUGAUGGCGAGUAGAUAAAAGUAGAUAAAAGUAUCAACAAGUGAACGAACCAACGCAGAAGGCAAGCUAAGGAGAACCGGGAGCUUGGGGGAAAAGUCCAAAAAACCUCUAUUUAUUUCGGUCAGGUCUUAUGGACAGAGCGAGAACCACUCAGAAGAUCCCUUUCCAUUGAUGGCGAGCCUCCCAGUGUGAUCCUGACAGGAAGUAGAACCGACCCGUCACAUACUUCACCUGGAGGUGGAAAAGCUCACACUCCAAGAGUCAUAUUGAAGCAGCACAAGCGGAACAACACUGAGACGGUGAUAUUUUGCAAGAGGUGCACUGACGGGGCUGCGCAGAGGAGAGAGAGACAGAGAGAGAGAGAGAGAGAGAAACUGGAGAGGGCGCUCAUUAUGCUGCCUUGACCUCUGAGGUCAGGGACAGGAAGGAAGCCGGCGGACACAGCGCCAAACUG